rnacentral:tRNA from 2 species
UGGUAGCUCAAUGGAUAGAGCGUCGGUCUCCGGAGCCGAAGGCUGUAGGUUCGAUCCCUAUCCGG